AUGGCGACCGGCGCACGGGUGAGUAACGCGUAUGCAACCUACCCGAUACCGGGGUAUAGCCCAUGGAAACGUGGAUUAACACCCCAUAGUACUUUUAUCCUGCCUGGGAUGUGAGUUAAAUGUUCAAGGUAUCGGAUGGGCAUGCGUCCUAUUAGUUAGUUGGCGGGGUAACAGCCCACCAAGACGAUGAUAGGUAGGGGUUCUGAGAGGAAGGUCCCCCACAUUGGAACUGAGACACGGUCCAA
rnacentral:rRNA from 1 species